rnacentral:rRNA from 1 species
UACGUAGGGGGCAAGCGUUGUCCGGAAUUAUUGGGCGUAAAGCGCGUGUAGGCGGCUUUGCAAGUCGGGUGUGAAAGCCCUCAGCUCAACUGAGGAAGGGCGCCCGAAACUGCCGAGCUUGAGUGCCGGAGAGGAUGGCGGAAUUCCCCAAGUAGAGGUGAAAUUCGUAGAUAUGGGGAGGAACACCGGUGGCGAAGGCGGCCAUCUGGACGGUAACUGACGCUGAGACGCGAAAGCGUGGGGAGCAAACAGG